UACGGAGGGAGCUAGCGUUGUUCGGAAUUACUGGGCGUAAAGCGCACGUAGGUGGCUUGUUAAGUCGGGUGUGAAAUCCCUGGGCUCAACCCAGGAAGUGCACUCGAAACUGGCAGGCUAGAGUACUGGAGAGGUUGGUGGAAUUCUCGGUGUAGAGGUGAAAUUCGUAGAUAUCGAGAGGAACACCGGUGGCGAAGGCGGCCAACUGGACAGAUACUGACGCUGAGACACGAAAGCGUGGGGAGCAAACAGG
rnacentral:rRNA from 1 species